rnacentral:rRNA from 1 species
GAAUCCGAUGUUUCAUUUAAACUGGUUUGGGAAAACCAAAUAUAUUAUAUAUUUUGCUUUGUUCAAAAUAAGGUUUUCUAAUAAAUUAUGUUUUUAUCAGAUAUGACAGAAUCUUUUUUAAAAUCUCUUCAAUAUGCUUUUAUUGCUUUUGAGAGGUUUUGUUACUUUGAGUAAAAUUAAGUGUUCAUAACAGACGGGUAGUCAUGAUUGAGUUCAUUGUGUUUGAAUACUACAGCAUGGAAUAACAAAUACGAAUAAGCUAAUUAUUUUUUUUUCUCAUUAUUUUUUUUUGAUAUUCUUAUUAGCUUAGUUACGAUUAAUAGGAGUAGCUUUGGGGGCAUUCGUAUUCAGAUGUCAGAGGUGAAAUUCUAAGAUUUUCUGGAGACGGACUACUGCGAAAGCAUUUGCCUAAUCUAUUUCCAUUAAUCAAGAACGAAAGUUAAGGGAGUGAAGACGAUCAGAUACCGUCGUAAUCUUAACCAUAAACUAUACCGACUAGGUGUUGGAUGAAUAUAAAAAAUAUAUAAAUAUGUAGCAUUUCUUAGAGAAUGUUGAUUUUAUAUUAGAAUUGCUUCCUUCAGUACCUUAUGAGAAAUCAAAGUCUUUGGGUUCUGGGGCGAGUAUUCGCGCAAGCGAGAAAGUUAAAAGAAUUGACGGAAGGGCACCACCAGGCGUGGAGCUUGCGGCUUAAUUCGACUCAACACGGGAAAACUCACUAGUUUAAGACAAGAGUAGGAU